GAACCGUAGGUGGCAGCAGAACUCCGAAAGGCCUGUAGAUCACCAGUAACUAAUAAAAGAAGAAGUAGCUUAUCGUGCAUCAGCAUUAUGGAUCAGCAUGGACGUAUCAUAGAACCACCAGAGGUUGUAGUUCCGUCUAACUUCAUGAAGGCGUUGGUUCUCGGAUGGAAGCGGAACACUGCCUACCUGCUGACUACAAAGGUUGGACAAUGAAGGGUAGAUCCAAGGUAAUAAAGCAAUUGGAGUUGGCUGGUAUUUCACCAUGUCCACGCUACACUGAUGUAGUAUGGACAGUACAAGGAAGCUGGCUGCAUAGUCGACUGGUGGAUAUGUGAACUAGCUCCACAAACCUGGACUUCGGCCAGUUUAUCCAAUGGAGGCCAUUGUUGAGGCG